rnacentral:lncRNA from 1 species
UAAAAGAAAUAAAAAAAAAAUAUGGGAUACAGAAUUAUAAAAUUAUUAAUUUUCAAUGAAUAGGAAAUGAGGAGUGUAUCUUAAAGGGAUUAUGGUUAUCAUUUUCCAUCAUUCUUUUAUUGAUUCAUGAAAUGUCUCACCCAUAAACACAGUGCAUCUGUUAAAAGAAUUAAAAAUCCUGCUAAAUUAAAAAAAAAAAGUAAAUCCAACCUAUAUUAACCAGCCAGUCACAAGUCCUAAACAUUUUAAGUUGUUUAUUUUUCAUGCCCCCUCAACUGAAAUACAGGGGGAGAUUGAAUUACCCCUGUUUGUCUGUUUGUCCCUCUGUCCUUUUUUCUUCCACCCUCCCUUCCAUUCAUUUAUCUGUAAAUUAGACUUUGCAUCUACCAG